rnacentral:rRNA from 1 species
UACGGAGGGUGCAAGCGUUGUUCGGAAUUACUGGGCGUAAAGAGCGUGUAGGCGGUUGAUUAAGUCAGGUGUGAAAGCCCUUGGCUCAACCAAGGAAGUGCACCUGAAACUGGUUGACUUGAGUACGGGAGAGGAGAGUGGAAUUCCUGGUGUAGAGGUGAAAUUCGUAGAUAUCAGGAGGAACACCGGUGGCGAAGGCGACUCUCUGGACCGAUACUGACGCUGAGACGCGAAAGCGUGGGGAG